GAAAUGCUACUUGCAAUUACUGUGAUUUCAUGGAAGGAUUCACUGCACUUAGGCAAAGUGUAAACAGGUCUUACUUUUAGUGUCCAACCCAUGAGACGUGGUAUGGGUUAAAUAAAACGAACGCAGUGACACAUUCACCCCCGUGAAGAACGUCGUCUGCUGUACUACGUGAAGACCGAGCGCAUCUUGAAAGGAGGAAAAUAUCAGCAGCUGAAAAGUAGAGAUGAAUGCUCAAAAAAAGAGAAAAACCAGUAAUAUUCUUGGGCUUACAUGACUGACUUUUUGCUGCUUCUGCAAAUCCUGGAUCCCACUGUGAAAGUACAUGGAAGUACUACUAACCGUAAGAAAAGCCGUUUAGUGUUAUUUCUAUUUCAAAUAUUAGAAAUAUGAUGGUUUGUCACCUUAUCCUAUCCAAACAAUCUGCAAGCUUUGGAUCAGAAUUUUCCACU